AGCGAACGCUGGCGGCAGGCCUAACACAUGCAAGUCGAACGAACCUUUCGGGGUUAGUGGCGGACGGGUGAGUAACACGUGGGAACGUGCCUUUAGGUUCGGAAUAACUCAGGGAAACUUGUGCUAAUACCGGAUGUGCCCUUCGGGGGAAAGAUUUAUCGCCUUUAGAGCGGCCCGCGUCUGAUUAGCUAGUUGGUUGAGGUAAUGGCUCACCAAGGCGACGAUCAGUAGCUGGUCUGAGAGGAUGAUCAGCCACAUUGGGACUGAGACACGGCCCAAACUCCUACGGGAGGCAGCAGUGGGGAAUCUUGCGCAAUGGGCGAAAGCCUGACGCAGCCAUGCCGCGUGAAUGAUGAAGGUCUUAGGAUUGUAAAAUUCUUUCACCGGGGACGAUAAUGACGGUACCCGGAGAAGAAGCCCCGGCUAACUUCGUG
rnacentral:rRNA from 1 species